AGCCAUAGUUCCUGGGUAGGUAUUGAUUCCCUGUUUUAAUGUUACUCUGUUUGGUUUGCACAUGGGACUGAAAAGGUCUUUAGUGUUAUUUAUCCCCCAGAAUAUUCUCUCUUUUACCAUUCCCUUACAUUUCCACCCCACUUAACCUUUCCUGUUCUGUUAUUCUGCUUUUCUCCUUUCCCCUUAGUAACACUUGUGUUCUGUACCCUUUUACUUGAAAUCUCUUUUCAUGAUCGCUUAUUAGUUUCCUGCCUUUUGUAAGUAUUUUAACUGAAGCAUGUAUAUCUAAAAAGUCUAACCUAGCAUCCACAAAUAAGGAAAUCUGUGCUGUUAUUCUCUCCAGGUCAUGGUAACUUUGUUCAAAAUAAUUUUUCCAGUUUUUUCCUUUUAAAUCUGAGUUUCAUAUUUUCCACUUUUAUUUUACAGUGAAACAAUAGUCAUUUGUGCAUAUGAACUGCAUUUUUAUUAUCUGUUAUCUGUUCAUUUAGUAAUGGUCAUCUAGUCUGUUUCCUACCCAUUGUGGCAACAAUGUACAUGGAUGAGUCUUUUGAGUAGAUCCUAGAUUAGUUUCUAGCUUUUUUUGAAUACCCUCUACCCUGAUUUUCAUAGUAGCUAUACCAGUUUGUAUAUUCCAUCAUCAUUUCUCUUUACCUGUACCCACCCAGCAUUUGAUGUCUCCUUAAAGUUUUAUCCUAUGCUUUCUGAUUUAGAUUAAGAUUAAAUCUGAAAGUACUAAUUAUCAUUUCCCCUGCUAGCUAAGCAUGUUGAACACUGAGAAGAAAUAUAUUUUGGCCACAUGUAUUUAUUGUUUUUAGAAGUCUCAUUAACUUCAUGCCCUAUAAUCUUUGCCCUUCUUUUUCUUCCUAAUUUUUAUUAUUUUAAGUAAUUUUAGAUUUAAAUAUAUUUUGAACAUGUUCUUCCCAUUUCCCAAUUCCUUCCAGAUUCUUUACCCUUCCAUAUCCAUCCAACUUUAAGAUGUUCCUAACCAAACAAAAACACAAUACAAAACAAAACCCCUAAAACCAAGAAAUCAAAAUAUAACCCCCUACUCAAACAAACAAUAACAGAACCAAAUUGUAGCC
rnacentral:lncRNA from 1 species